UGGUUUAAUUCGAAGCAACGCGAAGAACCUUACCAGGGCUUGACAUCCCCCUGACGGAUGUAGAGAUACAUCUUCUCCGCAAGGAGGCAGGGGAGACAGGUGGUGCAUGGUUGUCGUCAGCUCGUGUCGUGAGAUGUUGGGUUAAGUCCCGCCAACGAGCCGCCAACCUUGUCGUUAGUUGCCAGCAGUAAGAUGGGCACUCUAACGAGACUGCCCGGCCGAGAAGUCCGGAGGAAGGUGGCGAAUGACGUCAAAUCAUCAUGCGCCCUUAUGUCCUGGGGUACACAACGUGCUACAAUGGGGACUACAGAGGGAAGGAAAUCCCGAGGAGGAGCAAAUCCUAAGGUUCUCCCCAGGUUGUGGAUUGAAGGUUGAAAUCGCCUCAAUUAAAGCCGCAAAUGGUAGA
rnacentral:rRNA from 1 species